ACACACACACACACACACACACACACACACACACACACACACACACACACACACACACAGACCCCAUCUACGUAGUUUCCUGGUACAAGAGGACCUACAGCCGUGACUGACCUCUAGUGGAGGAGAUGAGAGCAGAGGAGGACGGGUCGGAGGGCCGUAGCACCGACUUCUGGGCCCUGUGUACCAGAGGUACUGAUGGCCCCCCCCCCCGAAUUCACCCUACUACCCAGGGGUAGGAUGGGCCUACAACUGGUGUACAGUAUUAUGUAUAAAUGUUGCUGUUUGAGAUAUUGCUUUAUAAUUUACAGUUGGUUUAUAAAGUAACUAAUGUACUGUUACUGAUAUUUACUGAUGUGAUUAUACAGCUGUUGCUAUUGCGGGUGGAUAAUGUCAUCUACAGUUGGUUUAUAAACUAACCAAUGUACAGUUACGAAUACAUUACAGAUGUUAUUAAGCAGCUGUUGCUGUUUCAUGUGUAUAAUGAGAUUGCACCAAACAAUUAAAUAAAGGAAGAAUUUUCAAACUU